rnacentral:rRNA from 1 species
GAUGAACGCUAGCGGGAGGCCUAACACAUGCGAGCCGAGCGGUAUUGUUUCUUCGGAAAUGAGAGAGCGGCGUACGGGUGCGUAACACGUGUGCAACCUGCCUUUAUCUGGGGGAUAGCCUUUCGAAAGGAAGAUUAAUACUCCAUAAUAUAUUGAACGGCAUCGUUUAAUAUUGAAAGCUCCGGCGGAUAGAGAUGGGCACGCGCAAGAUUAGCUAGUUGGUGAGGUAACGGCUCACCAAGGCGAUGAUCUUUAGGGGGCCUGAGAGGGUGAUCCCCCACACUGGUACUGAGACACGGACCAGACUCCUACGGGAGGCAGCAGUGAGGAAUAUUGGUCAAUGGGUGCAAGCCUGAACCAGCCAUCCCGCGUGAAGGACGACUGCCCUAUGGGUUGUAAACUUCUUUUGUAUAGGGAUAAACCUACCCUCGAGAGGGUAGCUGAAGGUACUAUACGAAUAAGCACCGGCUAACUCCGCG